AGAUAUGUAUAAGAGACAGAGUGCAUCCUGGGGGUGGAGGAGGAAUGUUGCCAGCAGCAGCCCCAGCUCUGAAUCUGGUACCUGCAAAAUAUGCUCCUUCCACCGGCACUGUUGAAUCAGGCAGACAGAUGGGAGCAAGCGGAUAAUAAGCCACAGGGGCUGUGGAACCUAAAGGGCCAAAAGCCACAGUGUGGUCAGGAAAAGCAGCUGAUGGAGUGGGGACUGCAGCAGCUCCUGGAUGCACAAAGCUCAAAC